GGCUGCUUGAAUCAGAUGCUAGAUAGUUGCAGUCUUCUACGGAAAACGGUUCCUACUGUAAAAUGAAAUUCUUGAGCGAUAGGUUGUAGUCGUGUUUGCUGUUAUUCCUUUACCAUCUGCGGGAGGUGCUGCAAUAUAUCAAGGUGCAGCUGUUCCAUGAUCCCCAGUUCGACGGCGAGCUUGAAUAGCCGGCCCAGCACUAUGCACU